rnacentral:rRNA from 1 species
UGAGGAAUAUUGGUCAAUGGACGCAAGUCUGAACCAGCCAAGUAGCGUGCAGGAUGACGGCCCUAUGGGUUGUAAACUGCUUUUAUGUGGGAAUAAAGUGGCGCACGUGUGCGCCAUUGCAUGUACCUCAUGAAUAAGGACCGGCUAAUUCCGUGCCAGCAGCCGCGGUAAUACGGAAGGUCCGGGCGUUAUCCGGAUUUAUUGGGUUUAAAGGGAGUGUAGGCGGUCUGUUAAGCGUGUUGUGAAAUUUAGGUGCUCAACAUUUAACUUGCAGCGCGAACUGUCAGACUUGAGUACACGCAGCGCAGGCGGAAUUCAUGGUGUAGCGGUGAAAUGCUUAGAUAUCAUGAGGAACUCCGAUCGCGAAGGCAGCCUGCGGGAGUGUUACUGACGCUUAAGCUCGAAGGUGCGGGUAUCGAACA